UUCGCAAUGCCCGAAAGGGUGACGAAGCGACGCCGCGUGCGGGAAGAAGGCCUUCGGGUUGUAAACCGCUGUCGGGAGUUAGGAAAUGCAAGGAUGUUAAUAGCGUCUUUGCUUGACUAAGGCUCCGGAGGAAGCCACGGCUAACUCUGUGCCAGCAGCCGCGGUAAUACAGAGGCGGCAAGCGUUGUUCGGAGUUAUUGGGCGUAAAGAGCACGUAGGCGGCCGUGUAAGUCGGUUGUGAAAGCCUUCCGCUCAACAGGAGAACGGCAUCCGAUACUGCAUGGCUCGAGUGCGGGAGGGGAGAGUGGAACUUCUGGUGGAGCGGUGAAAUGCGUAGAUACCAGAAGGAACACCGGCGGCGAAGGCGACUCUCUGGCCCGUAACUGACGCUGAGUGUGCGAAAGCUAGGGGAGCAAACGGGAUUAGAUACCCCGGUAGUCCUAGCCGUAAACGAUGGGCACUAAGUAGAGGGGUUUU
rnacentral:rRNA from 1 species